rnacentral:rRNA from 1 species
GAUGAACGCUGACAGCAUGCUUAACACAUGCAAGUCGAGCGAGCGGCGGACGGGUGAGUAAUGUCUGGGAAACUGCCUGAUGGCGGGGGAUAACUACUGGAAACGGUAGCUAGUACCGCAUACCAUCAGAUGUGCCCAGAUGGGAUUAGCUGGAGGGUGGGGUAACGGCUCACCUAGGCGACGAUGCCUAGCUGGUCUGAGAGGAUGACCAGACACACUGGAACUGAGACACGGUCCAGACUCCUACGGGAGGCAGCAGUGGGGAAUCUUGCACAAUGGGCGAAAGCCUGACGCAGCCAUGCCGCGUGUGUGAAGAAGGCCUUCGGAUUGUAAAGCACUGUCAGUGGGGAGGCGUUACCCGCAGAAGAAGCACCGGCUAACUCCGUGCCAGCAGCCGCGGUAAUAC